rnacentral:rRNA from 1 species
UACGUAGGAGGCAAGCGUUGUCCGGAAUUACUGGGUGUAAAGCGCGUGUAGGCGGCAGGCCAAGUCUGUGGUGAAAUCGCUCGGCUCAACUGGGCGGGGUCCAUGGAAACUGGUCAGCUGGAGGACGGUAGAGGUGAGUGGAAUUCCCGGUGUAGCGGUGAAAUGCGCAGAUAUCAGGAGGAACACCGGUGGCGAAGGCGGGUCUCUGGGCAGAUACUGACGCUGAGGAGCGAAAGCGUGGGGAGCGAACAGG